rnacentral:rRNA from 1 species
GACGAACGCUGGCGGCGUGCUUAACACAUGCAAGUCGAACGGAAAGGCCUAGCUUGCUGGGUACUCGAGUGGCGAACGGGUGAGUAACACGUGGGUGAUCUGCCCCUGACUUUGGGAUAAGCCUGGGAAACUGGGUCUAAUACCGGAUAUUCAUUUUUCCUCGCAUGGGGAUUUGUGAAAGCUUUUGCGGUUGGGGAUGGGCCCGCGGCCUAUCAGCUUGUUGGUGGGGUAAUGGCCUACCAAGGCGACGACGGGUAGCCGACCUGAGAGGGUGAUCGGCCACACUGGGACUGAGACACGGCCCAGACUCCUACGGGAGGCAGCAGUGGGGAAUAUUGCACAAUGGGCGCAAGCCUGAUGCAGCGACGCCGCGUGAGGGAUGACGGCCUUCGGGUUGUAAACCUCUUUCAGCUCCGACGAAGCGCAAGUGACGGUAGGAGCAGAAGAAGCACCGGCCAACUACGUG